AAUUCGAAGCAACGCGAAGAACCUUACCAGGCCUUGACAUGCAGAGAACUUUCCAGAGAUGGAUUGGUGGCCUUCGGGAACUCUGACACAGGUGCUGCAUGGCUGUCGCCAGCUCGUGUCGUGAGAUGUUGGGUUAAGUCCGUAACGAGCGCAACCCUUGUCCUUAGUUACCAGCACGUUAUGGUGGGCACUCUAAGGAGACUGCCGGUGGACAAACCGGAGGAAGGUGGGGAUGACGUCAAGUCAUCAUGGCCCUUACGGCCUGGGCUACACACGUGCUACAAUGGUCGGUACAAAGGGUUGCCAAGCCGCGAGGUGGAGCUAAUCCCAUAAAACCGAUCGUAGUCCGGAUCGCAGUCUGCAACUCGACUGCGUGAAGCCGGAAUCGCUAGUAAUCGUGAAUCAGAAUGUCACGGUGAAUACGUUCCCGGGCCUU
rnacentral:rRNA from 1 species